AUGAUCUCAGUUCCAAAAAGUGCUUUGUGUCCAGGGAUGUUAUCUUUCAUGAAACUUCUUUUCCUUUCAAAUCUGCUUCUUCUGUCACCUCUACUCCUCCUGUUUUUCCUUCUUCUUUUCAUUAUGUUCCUCCUUUUGAGCAUUCCCUUUCUGAGCCAGAUUUCUCUAUUCCCAUCUCUUCCUCCCCACCUUCACCUUCUGUUCCAGUUUCUCCUUCUUCAUAUCCAAUUUCCAGUCCUCCUUUCAACCCUGACAUCUCACC
rnacentral:lncRNA from 1 species